rnacentral:rRNA from 1 species
UACGUAGGGUGCAAGCGUUGUCCGGAAUUAUGGGCGUAAAGAGCUCGUAGGCGGUUUGUUGCGUCGGCUGUGAAAUCCCGAGGCUCAACCUCGGGUCUGCAGUCGAUACGAGCAAACUAGAGUGUUGCAGGGGAGACUGGAAUUCCUGGUGUAGCGGUGAAAUGCGCAGAUAUCAGGAGGAACACCGGUGGCGAAGGCGGGUCUCUGGGACG